CAGAAGCAGUGGAGUAAACAUUACUGCAGUCACUGCUCCUCCAAACACAGGAAGCUUCAGUUCAACAGGACAAGAUGAGACCAGCAUCACUCUGCAGUGGAAUAAAGUGAACAACAAUGUCAGCUUUAUUCUCCAGUUUAAUGGUACAGAGAUAAACAUCACUGCACCAGACGGAGAUGGAGCAGUAACUCACACAGUCUCAUCUCUCACUGCUGGAACUAAAUACACAUUCACUCUCUUCUCUGUGUUUGAGAACAUCAGAAGCAGUGGAGUAAACAUCACUGCAGUCACUGCUCCUCCAAACACAAACAGUUUGAUAUCAACAGGACAAAAUGAGACCAGCAUCACCCUGCAGUGGAAUAAAGUGAACAACAAUGUCAGCUUUAUUCUCCAGUUUAAUGGUACAGA